CAGGGAGUGGUCGGGGUUCAGCGGGUCGACGACCAGGCCGGGGUCGGCGACGGACACCUUGUCGGCGCCGCCGGUCGUGCCCACGACCGUCCCGGC
rnacentral:tRNA from 1 species